UCUGACUUGACCUCUCUGGGGGAUUUCCUAAGAAGGAGCUUCCCUGUUUUUCCAUUUUGAUUACCUAGUUGUGAUUUUUGGUGUGUGAUUUAUGCAGACCUGCCUGCCCUCAAAUAUAUUUGAUGGGGAAAGAGGCCAAAAAACCCCCCUAGAAAUCAUGAAUGACGGUGACAUGCUCAGGGAAGCAGUUAACCGAAUCGGGGGCUCUGUUGUGGAUGCUCCGCCCCAUUUAGGAGGAAGAAGGCAGAUCUGGGCCUGAAAUGGGACGGUCUCUGAGCUGUGGCGCAGCCCCAGAGUGCACACCACGCUCCAUGCACCUCCUGGGCAGGGUGGCAGUAGUGGGGAACAUGGGCUGGAGCUCUGUGGCUCACACUUUUUGUUUGUUUGUUUGUUUUUGAGACGGAGUCUCACUCUGUCGCCCAGGCUGGAGUGCAGUGGCACGAUCUCGGCUCACUGCAAGCUCCGCCUCCCAGGUUCACGCCAUUCUCCUGCCUCAGCCUCUGGAUUAGCUGGGACUACAGGCACCCGCCACCACGCCUGGCUAAUUUUCUGUAUUUUUAAUAGAGACGGGUUUUCACUGUGUUAGCCAGGAUGGUCUUGAUCUCCUGACCUCAUGAUCCACCCACCUCGGCCUCCCAAAGUGCUGGGAUUACAGGCGUGAGCCACUGCGCGCAGCCUGGCGCACACUUCUUACCAGAACCUAGUCACGAAUUCCUCGUCGAACUAGAAUUAGGUAUGUUUGUUACUGUAAACGCAGCUUGGUGGCUUACAGUGAUUGGCACUCUAACAGUCAGGUCAGGCUAGAGAGCCAGCCACCGCAGACAGAGGAGUGGACGCGUGAACGUUGAGUUGAGACCAAAGGGGCCACCUGGUGGGAUAACUGUCCUCACCCGUGAGGAGGAGGAAUGUCCCCUGUCCCCGGGGGAGAGUGCUCCUACACCAGCGCCGAGGCGGCAGAAUGGUGUCUUCAGGGGAAGAGAGUGCCCAGUUUGAGCUUCUCCCCCCAUUUCGUUUCUUUUUGUGUUAACAUCUGCGCAUCUGGCAGCGUUGAGAAUUCCUAGUGACUGUCAUUACAGGCGGCAGCUUUAAGGAUGUGAUUGCCGGUGACCCUUGGCCGGUCCCCUGUCUCCUGGCUCCUCAGCAGGAGGCUCCCUGUGUCACGGUGUCCUUGGGCAGUUCUCGGUGGCCUUUGCCGCCAAGCUUCCAGGGAGCUGCUGGGCGAAGGCUGAGACCCAGCGGCCCUGCCUCACAGUCACAGAGAGAAGAGCUCCCCACUUGGCCCUAACUCAUAACCUGCCCCAAUCCCGGAACACUCGGUGAGGUUUGAGAGAUGCACACCACGUAACAUCUCGUGGGCGAAUCAAGGCACAGC
rnacentral:lncRNA from 10 species